rnacentral:lncRNA from 1 species
AAUUAGCCGUUGGAGAAAGUAGAGGGGGAAAAAACAAAAAGCUCAAUAGAUCGGACUGUCAAACACACUUAACUAAUAACACUCCCAUUUAAAAGAAAGCAACCAACCAAUAACAAACGCUAAGCGCGCCGGCACCAACGACAGACACUUUAGACUUAACUUCGUUCGGCCUUCUUUUUCCUUUAAACAUUUCGACGACCGCUACUACUAUUGUAGAAUCUGUUGUUUUCAGUCUAGGAGUAAAUUCGCUCAGCCUUAAUGCACUAUACAUAUCAAAUGAUUUGAAAUUAUAGACGGUCGGAAGUAAACAAACAACAAAUCAACGGAUAUGUGAUUACUUUAAAGGGAUCUACAAUAUUCUUUCUAAAAACGUUCACUUAUUGAACUGAUGCCAUGAUGUGGCAGCACAUCCAAAGAUUAUUGUCUAUUACAUUGAACCCUGAUCUUAGUCUGAUCUCUGUGAGAAGAGAAAUAUUUUACUAAAGGAAAAUUGGAGUUCAUUUCUCAACUAUCAAAUGACCAGAUAACAUUUGGUCUUGCCUCUCUCUGUGGUUGAUGAUGGACAAA